UUCGCCUGCGGUUUAUGAGGAUGAGCACCUCCGCAGGAGGUUCGAGCCUCGCGAAGCGAGACAACGUUGCUUUAGCAACGGCCCGCAGGGCGCGCAUCAAGGAUGCGCGUAAUCCUCUCUCGCCGACCA
rnacentral:sRNA from 3 species